rnacentral:rRNA from 1 species
UGGGGAAUAUUGCACAAUGGGCGCAAGCCUGAUGCAGCCAUGCCGCGUGUAUGAAGAAGGCCUUCGGGUUGUAAAGUACUUUCAGUCGGGAGGAAGGUGGUAAGGUUAAUAACCUUAUCAAUUGACGUUACCGACAGAAGAAGCACCGGCUAACUCCGUGCCAGCAGCCGCGGUAAUGCGGAGGGUGCAAGCGUUAAUCGGAAUUACUGGGCGUAAAGCGCACGCAGGUGGUUGAUUGAGUCAGAUGUGAAAUCCCCGGGCUUAACCCGGGAAUUGCAUCUGAUACUGGUCAGCUAGAGUCUUGUAGAGGGGGGUAGAAUUCCAUGUGUAGCGGUGAAAUGCGUAGAGAUGUGGAGGAAUACCGGUGGCGAAGGCGGCCCCCUGGACAAAGACUGACGCUCAGGUGCGAAAGCGUGGGGAGCAAACAGG